UAUAUAUAAUAUUGUUGUUGGGGGGUUUUGUCCAAUUUGGGUGUGUUAUUUUUAAUAAAGUGGGGUUUUUUUAAAGGGGGGGUCAUUUUCAGUUUCGGUCAAGUGAUAGCUGAAUUUUCGGUCCAGAAUUUUCAUUUCGGUGCAUCCCUAUAUACUAAGCCAGACACUGAAGCAGUAGGCCUACACCACAUCAAUGUUUAGCUUAGUAUAUAGUGAUAGGGGUUAUGCUACAUUAUUGGCAAUGUCUGGCUCAAUGUAUAGUGAUAGGUGUUAUGCUGUACCCCUGUCAAUGGUAUGCAGUUUUUCCCAAUAAAAGAAAA